CCUACGGGAGGCAGCAGUGGGGAAUAUUGGGCAAUGGGCGCAAGCCUGACCCAGCAACGCCGCGUGAAGGAAGAAGGCUCUCGGGUUGUAAAGUUCUUUCAUCAGGGACGAAACAAAUGACGGUACCGAACUAAUAAGCCCCGGCUAACUACGUGCCAGCAGCCGCGGUAAUACGUAGGUGGCAAGCGUUAUCCGGAUUUACUGGGUGUAAAGGGCGUGUAGGCGGGGGUGCAAGUCAGACGUGAAAGGCCAGGGCUCAACCCUGGAACUGCGUUUGAAACUGUUCUGCUUGAGUGAUGGAGAGGCAGGCGGAAUUCCUAGUGUAGCGGUGAAAUGCGUAGAUAUUAGGAGGAACACCAGUGGCGAAGGCGGUUUGCUGGACUGCAACUGACGGUGAGGCGCGAAAGCGUGGGGAGCAAACAGGAUUAGAUACCCGUGUAGUC
rnacentral:rRNA from 1 species